CCUACGGGUGUCAGCAGUGAGGAAUAUUUGUCAAUGGCCGGGAGGCUGAACCAGCCAAGUCGCGUGAGGGAAGACGGCCCUACGGGUUGUAAACCUCUUUUGUCGGGGAGCAAAGCGAACCACGUGUGGUUCAUUGAGAGUACGCGAAGAAAAAGCAUCGGCUAACUCCGUACCAGCAGCCGCGGUAAUACGGAGGAUGCGAGCGUUAUCCGGAUUUAUUGGGUUUAAAGGGUGCGCAGGCGGAGGUGCAAGUCAGCGGUCAAAUUGCGGGGCUCAACCCCGUACUGCCGUUGAAACUGCAUCCCUUGAGUGCGCGAGAAGUAUGCGGAAUUCGUGGUGUAGCGGUGAAAUGCUUAGAUAUCACGAAGAACUCCGAUUGCGAAGGCAGCUUACUAAACUGCCACUGACAUUGAUGCUCGAAAGUGUGGGUAUCAAACAGGAUUAGAUACCCCUGUAGUC
rnacentral:rRNA from 1 species